rnacentral:rRNA from 1 species
UUUAUAGCCUCUGGCUAUAGGAAAUUGUUAGUGGCAGACGGGUGAGUAAUGCGUAGGAAUCUACCUAGUAGUACGGAAUAGCCAUUAGAAAUGGUGGGUAAUACUGUAUAAUCCCCGAGGGGGAAAGAUUUAUCGCUAUUAGAUGAGCCUACGUUAGAUUAGCUAGUUGGUGAGGUAAUGGCUUACCAAGGCUAUGAUCUAUAGCUGGUCUGAGAGGACGAUCAGCCACACUGGAACUGAGAUACGGUCCAGACUCCUACGGGAGGCAGCAGUGGGGAAUAUUGGACAAUGGGCGAAAGCCUGAUCCAGCUAUGCCGCGUGAGUGAAGAAGGCCUUCGGGUUGUAAAACUCUUUCAAUAGGGAAGAUAAUGACGGUACCUAUAGAAGAAG